rnacentral:rRNA from 1 species
UGACCGACGGGGCGACGGAUGGGGGUGGCUCGGCGGGGUUCUGGACGUCCCCGUGAUGGAGCGCGGCCCGCGGACCAGGGAAAUCCGGUCCGCACGAGGGCGAGGCUCCGGACGAAGCGAUUGAGCGAAGCGAGUGAGCCCGAGGUCCCUAGAAAAACCCCUAGGCAGGCGCGUGCGCGCCCGUACCGCAAACCGACACAGGUGGGUGGGUAGAACAUACCGAGGCGAUCGGGUCAACCAUGGUCAAGGAACUCGGCACAAUGGCCCCGUAACUUCGGGAGAAGGGGUGCCCGCGCGUACGUGAACGGACUUGCUCCGGGAGCGGAGGCGGGCCGCAGUGGAGAGGCCCAAGCGACUGUUUACCAAAAACACAGGACUCUGCAGAAGCCGCAAGGCGACGUAUAGGGUCUGACGCCUGCCCGGUGCCGGAAGGUCACGCGGAGGAGUUAGCCGUUAAGGCGAAGCCCCGAAGCCAAGCCCCGGUAAACGGCGGCCGUAACGAUAACGGUCCUAAGGUAGCGAAAUUCCUUGUCGGGUAAGUUCCGACCUGCACGAAAGGCGCAACGACUUGGGCGCUGUCUCGACCAUGGACCCGGUGAAAUUGCACUGGUCGUGAAGAUGCGACUUACCCGCGGAAGGACGGAAAGACCCCGUGAACCUUCACUGCAGCUUGGCAUUGGCCGCUGGUCCCGCGUGUAGAGGAUAGGCAGGAGGCAUCGAUCCGGAGGCGCCAGCCUCCGGGGAGCCGCCCUUGGAAUACUGCCCUCGCGCGACCGGCGUCCUAACCCGAGGCCGUCAACCGGCUCGGGGACCGUGCCAGGCGGGCAGUUUGACUGGGGCGGUCGCCUCCUAAAGGGUAACGGAGGCGCGCGAAGGUCCGCUCGGGACGGUCGGCAACCGUCCUUUUGAAUGCAAGAGUACAAGCGGGCUUGACUGCGAGGCCCACAAGCCGAGCAGGUGCGAAAGCAGGCUCUAGUGAUCCGGCGGCCCCGAGUGGGUGGGCCGUCGCUCAACGGAUAAAAGGUACUCCGGGGAUAACAGGCUGAUCUUGCCCAAGAGUCCACAUCGACGGCAAGGUUUGGCACCUCGAUGUCGGCUCAUCGCAUCCUGGGGCUGGAGCAGGUCCCAAGGGUACGGCUGUUCGCCGUUUAAAGCGGUACGCGAGCUGGGUUCAGAACGUCGUGAGACAGUUCGGUCCCUAUCCUCCGUGGGCGCAGGAGAAUCGAUGGAGGCUGCCCCCAGUACGAGAGGACCGGGGUGGACGCACCUCCGGUGAACCGGUUGUCGACCAACGGCACGGCCGGGUAGCCGCGUGCGGCGCGGAUAACCGCUGAAGGCAUCUAAGCGGGAAGCCGUUCCAGGGAUUAGUUCUCCUUCCGGUAAGGGCCCAGGUAGACUACCUGGUCGAUAGACGGCAGGUGCAAGGCUGGCGACAGCCUCAGCCGAGCCGCACUAAUCGCCCGAGCUC